rnacentral:rRNA from 1 species
UACGGGGGGGGCAAGCGUUGUUCGGAAUUACUGGGCGUAAAGGGCGCGUAGGCGGCCUUCUAAGUCGGACGUGAAAUCCCUCGGCUUAACCGAGGAACUGCGUCCGAUACUGAAAGGCUUGAAUCCGGGAGAGGGAUGUGGAAUUCCAGGUGUAGCGGUGAAAUGCGUAGAUAUCUGGAGGAACACCGGUGGCGAAGGCGGCAUCCUGGACCGACACUGACGCUGAGGAGACGCAAAGGCCAGGGAGAC